AAGUGUUUUUGUGGAGCUUGAGAAAUUCUUAUUACUGUUCCAACUUUCGUGUUUGAUAAAAGAUGAGAACUUCAAAUCAAAACUUCAAUUUACUGUUCAUCUCCUUAAGUCCCUUUGUAACAAAAAAAAAAAAAAAGGUUCUGAUCGCAAGGUCGGAACUCAAAAUUGGAAGUUCGUAAGUUCCUGUCAUUUGAUAACCCUACCCUCUUUUCUCUUCUUCCCUGCUGAGCACUCCUCUCUUCGCCGCUAAGCACCCCUUUGUUCGUUCAUAGAUUUUCCACCGAAUAAAGAUUUUCGUUCUGAAAACCCUAAAAAUCCCCUUCUAUUAUUCCCUGCGAAGCCAGUGAUCCAUUUUUCUUCCACAGCUCAAGUUCUUAGUCAUGGCAUAUGAAGAUGAUCCUUACCAUGAUGAGGAUGGAGAGCCAUUGAUGGAUCCGGACAUGGGUUCAGAACCAAAAGAAGAAGAUUGGGAACGGAGCGAUCACCCACGCCAAUCAUGGAUUCUGGUGAAGAAGAUGAGCCUAAAGCUAAACCUAGAAAGAGGCUUAUAAAGAAGAGUAACAAGGAAAGCUCGCCUGAAAAUGAUUUUUUUUGGCUGAUGAAGUUCAGGAAAAUGAGGAUUUUUCAGCUGGCAAGUUGAGGGGAAAGGAGGGAUCGAGCAACAAGAUAAAACCAAAGGAAGAAAGGGUGCAAAAGUUGCUGAUUGAUGUGGAGCAGUUUGACUGGAAUAACAACUUACAAAAAGUGGCUUGGGGAAGGUCAUUAUGUUUUUGUCACGAUCUGAAGAAGAGACCACAGCAAAUAGGAAGCUGGCAAAGGAAUUGGUUGAUAAAUGGGUAUGUCAUGGUUCCCUAGUUCAUUUGUUUUUACACCUAGAAAUUUUGAGGAAAUGUUGCUUUCAUGAUUUAGAUUCUUCAGGUGUUUUGCAUCGCACACAUUCUUUUUUGUCUUCCAUCUUGGACGAGUGUGUGGGUGAUCUCAUUUAGUUAGUGAAAUUUUGUUCUUUAGAUUGUGUCUUUUUAUAGAAAUGCACAAACGUUCAGCAUUUUGAAUGUCUUCAAGAAGGCAUUCAAAGUGAUGCUGUCAACCACAUGCUUCAGUAUCUAAAACAAAAUGGAACAAAGCAAAAUUAAAGGCUCAAUUUGGUUUGAGCGUGCAUUUUUGCUGCCAUAUACUGUUAUUGUAGCACAUGCAUCCAAACGCAACUCAGGGCUGUUUUGGGGUAGAGGUGUGCGUGUGUGUACAUGUGUUCAUGUGACUAUCUAUUUUGAAGGGUUCAAAGGGCCAUAUAGUUGGUCCUCUGUGAAUAAUAACCGUUUGCCUGUAUUAUGCAUGGAUUGAUGGUGAGUAAUACACCUCGAGCUUUUUGGGUAUAUUGAUAAGGAGUUUACUUAUGUGACAAAGUACAGAGGCAAGUCUUUGCUUAUAUACUUCAAUGAUUAGAGAAGAUAUUUGGCACGGAUGCUUCAGAUUGAAGUAAUGUGGAAGGGGGAAGAAAUAAGUGUCAAUGUCUUCCUCAAGGGAUCUCAGCAUCUCAAGACUGUCUUCUAAAGCAUCUAGUUUGUCCUUUCAUUAAAGUUCUAUUUGUUGUCUAAAUCUUUCUUCUUUCUUUUUUUAAUGUUGGUAACAUUGUGGGACAAAUAACAAUGUUGUUUUAUUGUUGAAUGAGAUAUAUUUUUGAGGUUGGGAUAUGGAUGUAUCAGUGGUGAAUGUAUGUCUAAGUAGUAUUCAAGCUAUUAUAGGUUAUUAU